rnacentral:rRNA from 1 species
CCUACGGGGCGCAGCAGUGAGGAAUAUUGGUCAAUGGGCGGGAGCCUGAACCAGCCAUGCCGCGUGAAGGCGAGUGCCCUACGGGCGUUAAACUUCUUUUGUGCGGGAGCAAUAAGGGCCACGCGUGGCCCGAUGAGAGUACCGCACGAAUAAGCAUCGGCUAACUCCGUGCCAGCAGCCGCGGUAAUACGGGGGAUGCGAGCGUUAUCCGGAUUUAUUGGGUUUAAAGGGUGCGUAGGCGGUCGGAUAAGUUAGAGGUGAAAUCCCGAGGCUCAACUUCGGAAUUGCCUCUGAUACUGUUCGGC